rnacentral:rRNA from 1 species
UGGGGAAUAUUGCACAAUGGAGGGAACUCUGAUGCAGCGACGCCGCGUGAACGAAGAAGGCUUUCGAGUCGUAAAGUUCUUUUAUAUGGGAAGAUAAUGACGGUACCAUAAGAAGAAGCCCCGGCUAACUACGUGCCAGCAGCCGCGGUAAUACGUAGGGGGCUAGCGUUGUCCGGAAUCACUGGGCGUAAAGGGUUCGCAGGCGGAAAUGCAAGUCAGGUGUAAAAGGCAGUAGCUUAACUACUGUAAGCAUUUGAAACUGCAUAUCUUGAGAAGAGUAGAGGUAAGUGGAAUUUUUAGUGUAGCGGUGAAAUGCGUAGAUAUCAAAAAGAAUACCGGUGGCGAAGGCGACUUACUGGGCUCAUUCUGACGCUGAGGAACGAAAGCGUGGGUAGCAAACAGG